rnacentral:rRNA from 1 species
CCUACGGGUGGCAGCAGUGGGGAAUAUUGGGCAAUGGGCGAAAGCCUGACCCAGCAAUGCCGCGUGCAUGAAGAAGGUCCUAGGAUUGGAAAACUCCGUUCUUUGGGGAGAAAAAACUGACGGUACCAUCGGAGGAAGCCUCGGCUAACUACGUGCCAGCAGCCGCGGUAUUACGUAGGGGGCGAGCGUGGUCCGGAUUUACGGGGCGUAAAGAGUGCGUAGGCGGCACUACAAGUCUCAUGUGAAAUACCCGGGCUUAACUUGGGGCUUGCAUGUGAAACUGUAGAGCUUGAGUACAGGAGAGGCAGGCGGAAUGUCUGGUGUAGCGGUGAAAUGCAUAGAGAUUAGGAAGAACACCGAUUGCGAAGGCAGCUUACUGAACUAAAACUGACGCUGAGGCACGAAAGCGUGGGGAGCAAACAGGAUUAGAUACCCGUGUAGUC